rnacentral:rRNA from 1 species
CCUACGGGUGGCAGCAGUGAGGAAUAUUGGUCAAUGGGCGCGAGCCUGAACCAGCCAAGUCGCGUGAGGGAAGACGGUCCUAUGGAUUGUAAACCUCUUUUGUCGGGGAGCAAACGACACCACGCGUGGCGUUCCGAGAGUACCCUAAGAACAAGCAUCGGCUAACUCCGUGCCAGCAGCCGCGGUAAUCCGGAGGAUGCGAGCGUUAUCCGGAUUGAUUGGGUUGAAGGGGUGCGCAGGAGGAAGAUCAAGUCAGCGGUAAAAUUGAGAGGCUCAACCUCUUCGAGCCGUUGAAACUGGUUGUCUUGAGUGAGUGAGAAGUAGGUGGAAUGCGUGGUGUAGCGGUGAAAUGCAUAGAUAUCACGAAGAACUCCGAUUGCGAAGGCAGCAUACCGGAGCGCAACUGACGCUCAUGCACGAAAGUGUGGGUAUCGAACAGGAUUAGAUACCCGGGUAGUC